rnacentral:rRNA from 1 species
CCCUAGUACGGCGAGUGAAGAGGGAAAAGCUCAAAGUUGGAACCUGGCUGCCCUAGGCAGUCCGGAUUGUAAACUAAAGAGCGUGAUUCCAGGCAAGCCGGUUGACCAAGUCCUUUGGAAUGAGGCGCCACUGAGGGUGAGAGCCCCGUAAGUCGACUGAGCAUUUGUCUUUUGUGUUUCGCGUUCAAAGAGUCAGGUUGUUUGGGAAUGCAGCCUAAAGCUGGUGGUAAAUCCCACCUAAAGCUAAAUACAGGCGAGAGACCGAUAGCGAACAAGUACCGUGAGGGAAAGAUGAAAAGAACUUUGAAAAGAGAGUUAAACAGUAUGUGAAAUUGCCAAGAGGGAAGCAUUUGGAGUUAGAUUGACUAGGAGUUAAUCAGCUUGGUCUUUGGACUGGGUGUACUUGACUUCUUACAGUCUGCCAAUAGCAGUUAGUCCUAGUGGAAAAAACCAGAGGGAAGGUAGUCCUUCGGGAUGUUUAUAGACCUUUGGAAAAUACACUGGGAUUGACUGAGGAAUGCAGUAGAUGCCACUAAGGCUUCGUCUAGUGGGUGCUAGGCAAAGGUACUUGGUAUUUUCAGCUUGCUGAUGUGCUAGGUUACUCGAGUCUAGUCGCCUACUAGAACUGUAAUCUACUUU